ensembl:lncRNA
AUGGAAAGCAGCGACUUGCGCUUGCAUGCGGCCGGUGGGGCGGGCUCCGAUCCUGCCGCCCACCCCGCACAGGGGGCUCGGCCCCGCACCCAGCGCAGCGCCCAGGGCUGCUCCGGCCUGGCUCGGGCCUGGAGCGGUACCUGGCACAGGGCCCUGGCGUGGCAUCGCGGGGCGGGUGAUGUCAGCGUUGCCAUGGCGCCGGCGAAGCUGGCUGCAUCCGGCACGGCUGCCACGCUCCCCGCACGCAAACCCGCCUGUGGGAGAUGCUUAUUUUUAACAUCUUCCUCCUACGACGGCGGCAAGAUAGAUUUCCCCUGCUCUGCCCAGCCCCGGUGUCCACCCAGACACCCCGCAGCGGAAGACCCUGGGUUGCAGCAGGCACCCCCACCGGCAUCCAUCGCCGGGGCGCAGGCGGCCUGGCUUGCACCCCCGGGUCAGCCCUGGCAGCUCUCCCCAGGGCCUGGCUCCCGCCCCCUCCCUCAGCGGGUGGGGGGGGCGGGGGCUGCCCCGUUCCCCCUCCAGCCCCGGGCUGCAGGGAGAGGGCCUCAGCUGGACGCGGCUGCCUCGCACAGCUGCUUCCCAUCACUGCUGGGCUCUGGGCUCAGCUGCAGCCAUCUGGCCGGCCCCAGGGAGCUGGAUCCAGCCCCUGGCCCGCGGCAGGGGAUGCUGCAGCCCUCAGGUACCGGGUCCUGGUACAGGCUGCCCCCACGCCGUUGUCCCGGGCCGGGGGAAGAGCUGCCCCCAGCCCCGCUGGGCUGCAAGGCCUGGGCAGCAGCCACCACGGCCAGGCCCUGGCGCAGCGGCCCACGGGGUGCUGGUGGGGAGGGGGCCGGCAGCGCCGCGCCCGUGGGACAUGAGCUCACCGGGCCGGGCCUGCAGCUGGCGGGCGGGGGCCGGGCCGCGGGCCCAGCGCUCGGGCGGGGGGCUCCCCGCACGCUGCCGCGGAAGAGCAGCACGCGAUGCAGUGUCUUGGGCGGGGGAGGAGGAAAUGGCAGCUGGGGCUCCCGUGGGGGCUGUGCCUGCCCCGGGGAAGCAGUCCCUGGCUCCCUCCCUCCGGGCCUGGUGCUCCCUGGCUUGCAGAGGCAGUGCUCUGGCUCAGGCGCUGGGUGCCUGGGAAGCUCCCCUGCCCCUGCAGCCUCCCUCUGUGCCCGGGCAGGCGCCCAGCCCGGGCUCCGGGACCCUUCCCCCAGACAGCGAGGCCCUGCUGGGCUCCGGCCUGGGACGAGUGGGACUCCGGCCCGCCUGGAGCCUCGGGUCCACUCUGGGGUUGCCCCAGUUGCUGCACCACUAACUGGAACGGCUUCAUUGCCAUGGCCCUCGGGGCACCGAGCCCCGGGGCACCGACUUCAAGGCCCCUCCGCAGUCCCCUGGCCCCGAACGCCCUCCCGGCCCCGUGAGCUCCGUGUUACUAAAUCCGAGCUGCGCAGUCAUCUCCCCGGCAGCUGCUGCUGCUUCUCAGGGCUCCUGGCCGCAGUGGCACUAGCGGCACCUCCACGCCGCGCAGCUCGGGCACGCGUCGCCCGCCGGCUGGGGGGUGCCCCCGGGGAGGGGGUGCUCAGAAUAAGGCAGGGCCCUGGGCUGCGGUCGCUCCCCGGCAGCAGCUGUGGGAGCUGCAGAGGCAGCACCUGCGCCCAGGAGGCAAUGGGCCCGGGGCCUGGCCCUGGCCGAGCUGGGUCCCCUUGCACCAGCCCCUGUCCUGGCACCCCCGCCCCAUCCAGCACAGGCUCCUCCCUGCGCAGGUCCCCGAGCCUGCAGCCCACAAGAACGAUCUGCUGCUCUUCAAAACAGGAAGCUGCCUCUGCUGAUGGGGGCGGGAGGGGCUCCCGGCUGGGCUGCCUCGCACUGGGGAGCUGCCGACACCCCCCUGCUUCCCGGCCGCGCGGGCUGCCCCGCGCCGUGCCCCCGCGGAGCUGGGCCUCGGUCCUGGCUGCGGGGCCCCUGCGCCGCGAUGCGGGCUGGGUCCAGUGCAGAUCCUCCCUAGGGGCUGGGGCCCAGACCGCCCGGCAUCUCCCCAGCUCUGCUUCUGCACAUGGGGCCUGCUGA